ensembl:lncRNA
AGCUAGGCUAGUGGGAGGGAAGGGAAAGUGGUCACAUGCAGAGCUAGGCUAGUGGGAGGGAAGGGAAAGUGGUCACAUGCAGAGCUAGGCUAGUGGGACAGGAGGGAAAGUGGUCACAUGCAGAGCUAGGCUAGUGGGACAGGAGGGAAAGUGGUCACAGGCAGAGCUAGGCUAGUUGGACGGGAGGGAAAGUGGUCACAGGUAGAGCUAGUCGGAGGGAAGGGAAAGUGGUCACAGGCAGAGCUAGGCUAGUGGGAGGGAAGGGAAGGGUGGUGACAGGCAGGGCUAAUAGGAUUGAAGGGAAAGUGGCCAUAGGCAGGGCUAGUUGGAGGGGAGGGAAAGUAGUCACAGGCAGAGCUAGUGAGAGGGGAGGGAGAGCCGUCAUAGGCAGGGC